GUGUUGUGCAGCACUUGCACAUAAGACGCACACAGGUGUCUGGUUCUGUGGUGCAUGAACGACUUUUCUAAGCGAGAGACACAGCAGCCUGAGCAGACUCAGGUGAGUGACCUCUGGGCAGAUGCCGACGAGGGUCACCCCUGAGCACUCACCGGGUACAUGUUCUGCACUGACGGCGUGGACCAUCCUCUCCUUUGUCCUCACAGAGACUCUGUGGCGAUGGGUGCUGUCCCCAAAUGUAGCCAUUCCACAGCUGGGAAUUGUGGUGUCCACCGUCCUCGACCUGCGACGGGGUCUCCAUGAGCACAGAGGCUGCUCUGGAGUCAACAGAUCAUCUUUUCCCCAAACCAAACUGCUUGGCUGGCGUUGUUCCUGAAGGGGCUUCACUGGCCAGAAGACAUCCAGUCCCUGACUCCACCUGCCUCCAGGUGCCCAGAACAGCCCAUCGUGGGGACUUCACCCUCAGCAAGUGGACGCCGUUUGUCCUGCCAGGGCAGGAUGGAGAUGGAUGAGGACCCGGAUAACCUGCCUGCCCAGGG
rnacentral:lncRNA from 1 species